rnacentral:tRNA from 1 species
UCCCUGAUGGUCCAGUGGCUAAGACACCAUGUUUCCAAUGCAGGGAGCCCAGGUUCAAUCCCUGGUCAGGGAA